UGCAGGCGGUUAUACAAGUAGGAUGUGAAAGCCUGGGGCUCAACCUCAGAACUGCAUUCUAAACUGUGUGACUAGAGUAUUGCAGGGGGAGACGGAAUUUCAGGUGUAGCGGUGGAAUGCGUAGAUAUCUGAAAGAACACCAAAGGCGAAGGCAGUCUCCUGGGCAAAUACUGACGCUCAUAUGCGAAAGCGUGGGUAGCAAACAGGAUUAGAUACCCUGGUAGUCCACGCCGUAAACGAUGUCAAUUAGGAGCUUGAGCAAUAGUUUGGGUUCCGAAGCAAACGCAAUAAAUUGACCGCCUGGGGAGUACGGCCGCAAGGUUAAAACUCAAAUGAAUUGACGGGGGCCCGCACAAGCGGUGGAGCAUGUGGUUUAAUUCGACGCAACGCGAAGAACCUUACCUGAUCUUGACAUAGCAAGAACCUCUCUGAAGGGAGAGGGUGCCUUCGGGAAUUUGCAUACAGGUGCUGCAUGGCUGUCGUCAGCUCGUGUCGUGAGAUGUUGGGUUAAGUCCCGCAACGAGCGCAACCCUUGUCCUUUGUUGCCAGCGAUUCGGUCGGGAACUCAAAGGAGACUGCCAGUGACAAACUGGAGGAAGGCAGGGAUGACGUCAAGUCAUCAUGGCCCUUACGGUCAGGGCUACACACGUGCUACAAUGGGGCGUACAGAGGGAAACGAUACCGCGAGGUGGAGUGGAACCCACAAAGCGUCCCUAAGUUCGGAUUGGAGUCUGCAACUCGACUCCAUGAAGUCGGAAUCG
rnacentral:rRNA from 1 species